GAAGGCUCCAAUCGAAGCCAUGCCUGCUUCCCUAUAGCGGUGAAUGGUCAACAGGAUGCUGAGAUAAGACUUGCACCGACGGUCGCUGUUCAGUUCUAACGUAACUGUUCCAGCAACAUUUAGAGAAAAAAACAAU